UCACUUUGUCACCAGGCUGGAGUGCAGUGGCUUGAUCUUGGUUCACUGCAAUCUCUGCCGCCCGGGUUCAAGAAAUUCUCCUGCCUCAGUCUCCUGAGUAGCUGGGAUUACAGGUACACGCCACCAUACCCAGCUAUUUUUUGCAUUUUUAGUAGAGACGGGGUUUCACCAUGUUACCUAGGAUUGGUCUAGAUCUCCUGACCUUGUGAUCUGCCUGUCUUGGCCUCCCAAAGUGCUGGGAUUACAGGCAUGAGCCACUGCGCCCAGCCCCAGAGCCUGACUUUUUAAAACACAAAAACAGAUACGAAUGGCUGCAUUACCGUGCUGAUUUGCCACAUGGAUUCUAAAAACGAAAUACAGGGCCUGCACACCAAUGAAACUACUGAUAUCAGCUGUUCUGAAGAAACCCAGAAGAGACUGAAUCACCAAAGAGUGCAGUUUCCACAUCCUGAUGAUUUUAUCAUCCUUACUCUGACCAAACAGUGACCUCAAUUUUACAGCCCCUCACACCCUAUAAUCAUCCUAAAAACUUCAGCCCAGAACUCCUCAGGAGGAUAAUUUGAGGGUUUCUCCCAUUUCCUUAUUUGGCUGCCCUGUAAUCAUUAAACACUUUCUCUGCUGCAAACCCUGUUGUCUUGGUGUAUUGGUCUGUUACUGUGCAGCAGGCAUUAUGAACCUAGCGGUCCUACAAUAUCAGAGUGUGAAACCACUGGCCAGAGAGUUCUGGAUCUAAAUUCUGAUUUUCCCAUUUAUUGGCACUGUGAUUUUGGAC
rnacentral:lncRNA from 10 species